AUGUCUUCCUCCGGCGCCUCCCAGACUAACCUAAGCGACCAAGUCACGGAGAAGCUAACCCGCACCAACUAUAUCCUCUGGCGCGCGCAGGUCACGCCGCAGCUCAAGGGUGCAGGGGUCUUCGGCUAUGCCGACGGCACUACACCGGAGCCGGCCAAGUUCCUCACCACCAAAGACAAGGAUGGGAAGGAAUCCUCUGAGCCCAACCCUCACCACCCUUUAUGGGUUCGGGAGGACCACUAA
rnacentral:rRNA from 1 species